ACCCCGGGAGGGGAGUGAAAUAGAACCUGAAACUGCAUACAUACAAACAGUAGGAGCCCGCAAGGGUGACUGCGUACCUUUUGCAUAAUGGGUCAGCGACUUACGUUUUGCGGCGAGCUUAACCGAGUAGGGGAGGCGCAGCGAAAGCGAGUUCGAACAGAGCGACAGAGUCGUAAGGCGUAGACCCGAAACCAGAUGAGCUAUCCAUGGUCAGGUUGAAGGUGUGGUAACACACACUGGAGGACCGAACCGACCGGUGUUGCAAAACCGGCGGAUGAACUGUGGAUAGGGGUGAAAGGCUUAACAAAUCUGGAGAUAGCUGGUUCUCCCCGAAAACUAUUGAGGUAGUGCCUCGUGAAUGACUGCCGGGGGUAGAGCACUGUUAUGGCUAGGGGGACAUGGCGUCUUACCAAACCAUGGCAAACUCCGAAUACUGGCAAGUUGAAUCACGGGAGACAGAGCACCGGGUGCUAACGUCCGGACUCAAAAGGGAAACAACCCAGACCGCCGUUUAAGGUCCCUAAUAACAGCUAAGUGGAAAACGAAGUGUGAAGGCUAAGACAGUCAGGAAGUUGGCUUAGAAGCAGCCAUCCUUCAAAGAAAGCGUAAUAGCUCACUGAUCGAGUCCUCAUGCGCGGAAGAUGUAACGGGGCUAAGCUGUUAACCGAAAGCGCGGAUUUCCAAGCAAUUGGAAGUGGUAGGGGAGCGUUCUGUAAGCCGACGAAGGUGAUUCGUAAGGAUUGCUGGAGGUAUCAGAAGUGCGAAUGCUGACAUGAGUAACGAUAAAGCGGGUGAAAAGCCCGCUCGCCGUAAGCCCAAGGUUUCCUGCUCUACGUUCAUCGGAGCAGGGUGAGUCGGCCCCUAAGGCCAGGCUGAGAAGCGUAGUCGAUGGGAAGCUGAUUAAUAUUUCAGCACCACUGUUGAGUGCGAAGGGGGGACGGAGUUUUGCAAGUAAUCCGGGUGUUGGAUGUCCCGGUUGGCGAGCGUAGGAGGUGAGCAGGCAAAUCCGCUCACGCAUCUCCGAGACGAAGCCUCGAGGUCCUUUAGGACUGAAGUUACCGAAUGAACUUCCAGGAAAAGCCUCUAAGCUCCAGCUCAACGGUGACCGUACCGUAAACCGACACAGGUGGGCGAGUUGAAUAUACUCAGGCGCUUGAGAGAACUCGGGAGAAGGAACUCGGCAAAUUGACACCGUAACUUCGGGAUAAGGUGUGCCUUGGUAGCGUGAAAGGAGAAACUCCCCAAGCGCGAAGAGGUCACAGAAAAUAGGGGGCUGCGACUGUUUACUAAAAACACAGCACUCUGCAAAGACGAAAGUCGACGUAUAGGGUGUGAUGCCUGCCCGGUGCCGGAAGAUUAAGUGAUGGGGUGAGAGCUCCUGAUCGAAGUCCCGGUAAACGGCGGCCGUAACUAUAACGGUCCUAAGGUAGCGAAAUUCCUUGUCGGGUAAGUUCCGACCUGCACGAAUGGCAUAACGAUGGCCCCACUGUCUCCUCCCGAGACUCAGUGAAGUUGAAAUGUUUGUGAUGAUGCAAUCUCCCCGCGGCUAGACGGAAAGACCCCAUGAACCUUUACUGCAGCUUUGCAUUGGACUUUGAACCGAUCUGUGUAGGAUAGGCGGGAGGCAAUGAAACUUUGACGCCAGUCAGAGUGGAGCCGACGUUGAAAUACCGCCCUGAUUUGUUUGAGGUUCUAACCGCAGACAGUGAGCCUGUCUCGGGACCGUGCAUGGUAGGCAGUUUGACUGGGGCGGUCUCCUCCUAAAGGGUAACGGAGGAGUACAAAGGUACGCUAGGUACGGUCGGAAAUCGUGCUGAUAGUGCAAUGGCGCAAGCGUGCUUGACUGCGAGACCGACAAGUCGAGCAGAUGCGAAAGCAGGUCAUAGUGAUCCGGUGGCACUGAAUGGAAGGGCCAUCGCUCAACGGAUAAAAGGUACUCUGGGGAUAACAGGCUGAUACCGCCCAAGAGUUCAUAUCGACGGCGGUGUUUGGCACCUCGAUGUCGGCUCAUCUCAUCCUGGGGCUGUAGCCGGUCCCAAGGGUAUGGCUGUUCGCCAUUUAAAGAGGUACGUGAGCUGGGUUUAAAACGUCGUGAGAC
rnacentral:rRNA from 1 species